UGGUGAGGUAGAGGUUGCGGUAUUUAAGAGUAUGCUGGACGAGACCCAGAGAUGUUGUAGACUCCAUCAGAAAGGAAAGACCGCCGAAGCUUGUACAAAGACUCUGUGAUGUACAGGCUGGGGCUGUUUCCGAAAGGGACAGAACUGUCACGUUUAUUUGCCGAAUAAGCGUGUUGUGCUAUCUUCAUG
rnacentral:ncRNA from 2 species